CUCCCGACUGUUUACCAAAAACACAGCACUCUGCUAACUCGUAAGAGGAUGUAUAGGGUGUGACGCCUGCCCGGUGCUCGAAGGUUAAUUGAUGGGGUUAGCAUUAGCGAAGCUCUUGAUCGAAGCCCGAGUAAACGGCGGCCGUAACUAUAACGGUCCUAAGGUAGCGAAAUUCCUUGUCGGUUAAAUACCGACCUGCAUGAAUGGCGUAACGAGAUGGGAGCUGUCUCAAAGAGGGAUCCAGUGAAAUUGUAGUGGAGGUGAAAAUUCCUCCUACCCGCGGCAAGACGGAAAGACCCCGUGGACCUUUACUACAGCUUGACACUGCUACUUGGAUAAGAAUGUGCAGGAUAGGUGGGAGGCUUUGA
rnacentral:rRNA from 1 species